rnacentral:rRNA from 1 species
UUCAGCGCCGAUGGUAGUUGGGGGUCUCCCCCUGUUAGAGUAGGACGUCGCUAGGC